CCUACGGGAGACUGCAGUGAGGAAUAUUGGUCAAUGGGCGCGAGCCUGAACCAGCCAAGUAGCGUGAAGGAUGACUGCCCUAUGGGUUGUAAACUUCUUUUAUAUGGGAAUAAAGUGCAGUAUGUAUACUGCUUUGCAUGUACCUUAUGAAUAAGGAUCGGCUAACUCCGUGCCAGCAGCCGCGGUAAUACGGAGGAUCCGAGCGUUAUCCGGAUUUAUUGGGUUUAAAGGGAGCGUAGGCGGGUUGUUAAGUCAGUUGUGAAAGUUUGCGGCUCAACCUUAGAAUUGCAGUUGAUACUGGCAUCCUUGAGUACAGUAGAGGUAGGCGGAAUUCGUGGUGUAGCGGUGAAAUGCUUAGAUAUCACGAAGAACUCCGAUUGCGAAGGCAGCCUGCUGGACUGUAACUGACGCUGAUGCUCGAAAGUGUGGGUAGCAAACAGGAUUAGAUACCCCAGUAGUC
rnacentral:rRNA from 1 species